rnacentral:rRNA from 1 species
AUUGAACGCUGGCGGCAUGCCUUACACAUGCAAGUCGAACGGUAACAGGCCGCAAGGUGCUGACGAGUGGCGAACGGGUGAGUAAUGCAUCGGAACGUGCCCAGUCGUGGGGGAUAACUGCUCGAAAGAGCAGCUAAUACCGCAUACGACCUGAGGGUGAAAGCGGGGGACCGUAAGGCCUCGCGCGAUUGGAGCGGCCGAUGUCAGAUUAGGUAGUUGGUGAGGUAAAGGCUCACCAAGCCGACGAUCUGUAGCUGGUCUGAGAGGACGACCAGCCACACUGGGACUGAGACACGGCCCAGACUCCUACGGGAGGCAGCAGUGGGGAAUUUUGGACAAUGGACGCAAGUCUGAUCCAGCCAUGCCGCGUGAGUGAAGAAGGCCCUCGGGUUGUAAAGCUCUUUUGUCCGGAAGAAAAGCAUUCUGGUUAAUACCCGGGUGUUCUGACGGUACCGGAAGAAUAAGCACCGGCUAACUUCGUGCCAGCAG